AUGGAGAGGGUGACAAGGUUGGCAUCAGAGAGAUCAGUGGUGAUAUUCAGCAAGAGUAGUUGUUGCAUGUGUCACACAAUCAAAACUCUUCUAAGUGAUUUUGGAGUGAAUCCAGAAGUUCAUGAGCUUGAUGAGAUAAAUGGAGGGAGAGAAAUUGAGCAAGCACUUUCAAGACUUGGAUGUAACCCUUCUGUUCCUGCUGUGUUCAUUGGUGGUGAGCUUGUUGGUGGAGCUAAUGAAGUUAUGAGUCUUCAUCUUAAUAGGACUUUGAUUCCAAUGCUUAGAAGAGCAGGAGCACUUUGGGUUUGA